AUAUAGAAGAUGACAUUUUAUGUUCUUUAGGAUAUAAGUAUAUAUUUAAUUAAUUUUGAUGUUCAAUACAUAUCUUUCUAAACGAUUUAUUGUCAAGGUUUGUUAAUCAUUACAAGUUUGAUUGAUUUAAAUAAUUGAGGAUGUACUUAAUAGAAAUAUUUAGCUUACAUUAUUUAAUAGAAAUCUCUGGUUCAUAAUCACUUUAUGAUUGUAUAAACAAAAACAAAGGCUAAAGAAGUACAUACUACGUAAAAAUUGUCAUAUUUUCCUUUUUUUCUUUUUUUUAUGAGUGAUUUUCUUUAUUAUCUAUCAAAUGUAUAAAUCAAGUGAUUUCUGAUAUAGGCUGAUAUUUUGAAGGUUACGCGUCUCUAACUUGUUUAUUUUGUCACUCUAUUCAUCUGUGUUUCCUCUUAUUUUAAAUUUUAUUCCAGCGUCAUCAAUGAUUAUGAUAUGUUUUUUGUAUUGUUUUGAUGAGAUUGAGAUGUUUUUUAGGAUUAUGAGGAUCUCAGAAUAAUAAAGGUGGUGCUAAUGUAACACUAGAAAAAUGAUUGAGUUGGUUUCCUUUAAUACAUACGGUCUCAUUUUAAUUUUCUUGUAAUUAUUCUUUUUUCUUUUUUUCUUUUUCAUUUUCUUGUAAUUAUUCUAUUUUCUUUUUUUCUUUUUCAUUUUUUACUUAUAAUUAAUAUUUUAGCAUAUUUUUAAUCUGUAUAACUUAUGUUAAUUGUUUAAUUAUUAAAAUAUAGAAGAUGACAUUUUAUGUUCUUUAGGAUAUAAGUAUAAAUUUAAUUAAUUUUGAUGUUCAAUACAUAUCUUUCUAAACUAUUUAAUGUCAAGGUUUGUUACUCAUUACAUGUUUGAUUGAUGUAUAUAAUUCAGGAUGUACUUAAUAAAAAUAUUUAGCUUACAUUAUUUAAUAGAAAUCUCAGGUUCAUAAUCACUUUAUGAUUGUAUAAACAAAAUACAAAAGGUAAAAAAAUACGUACUGCUGAAAAAAUGUCAUAUUUUCCGUUUUUUUCUAUCUUUUAUGAGUAAUUUUCUUUCUUAUCUAUCAAAUGUACAAAUCAAGUGAUUUCGUAUAUAUGUUGCUCUUUUGAAGGUUACACAUCUCUAAGUUGUUUAUUUUGUCUCUCUAUUCAUCCGUGUUUCCUCUUAUUUUCAAUUUUAUUCUUGCGUCACCAAUGAUUAUGAUAGGGUUUUUCGUAUUGUUUUGAUGAGAUUGAGUCGAUUGUUAGGAUUAUGAGGAUCUCACAAUAAUAAAGUUGAUGCUAAUGUAACACUGGAAAAAUGAUUGAGUUGCUUUCCUUUAUACCAUACGGUCUCAUUUUCAAUUUCUUGUAAUUAUUCUAUUUUCUUUUUUCUUUUUCAUUUACUUGUAAUUAUUCUAUUUUCUUUUUUGUUUUUCAUUUUCUGGUAAUUAUUCUAUUUUCUUUUUCUCUUUUUCAUUUUCUACUUAUAAUUAGUUUUUUAGCAUAUUUUUAAUCUGUAUAACUUAUGUUAAUUGUUUAAUUAUCAGAAUAUAGAAGAUGACAUUUUAUGUUCUUUAGGAUAUAAGUAUAUAUUUAAUUAAUUUUGAUGUUCAAUACAUAUCUUUCUAAACUAGUUAAUGUCAAGGUUUGUUACUCAAUAAAUGUUUGAUUGAUUUAUAUAAUUGAGGAUUUACUUAAUAUAAAUAUUUAGCUUACAAUAUUUAAUAGAAAUCUCUGGUUCAUAAUCACUUUAUGAUUGUAUAAACAAAAUACAAAGGGUAAAAAAAUACGUACUGCUGAAAAAUUGUCAUAUUUUCCUUUUUUUUCUAUCUUUUAUGAGUAAUUUUCUUUCUUAUCUAUCAAAUGUACGGAACAAUUGAUUUCUGAUAUAGGUUAAUCUUUUGAAGGUUACACAUCUCUAACUUGUUUAUUUUGUCACUCUAUUCAUCUGUGUUUCCUCUUAUUUUCAAUUUUAUUCUUGCAUCACCAAUGAUUAUGAUAGGGUUUUUCGUAUUGUUUUGAUGAGAUUGAGAUGUUUGUUAGGAUUAUGAGGAUCUCACAAUAAUAAAGUUGGUGCUAAUGUAACACUAGAAAAAUGAUUGGGUUGGUUUCCUUUAAUACAUACGGUCUCAUUUUCAUUGUCUUGUAAUUAUUCUAUUUUCUUUUUUUCUUUUUCAUUUUCUUGUAAUUAUUCUUUUUUCUUUUUUUCUUUUUCAUUUUCUACUUAUAAUUAGUAUUUUAGCAUAUUUUUUAAUCUAUAUAACUUAUGUUAAUUGUUUAAUUAUCAGAAUAUAGAAGAUGACAUUUUAUGUUCUUUAGGAUAUAAGUAUAUAUUUAAUUAAUUUUGAUGUUCAAUACAUAUCUUUCUAAACUAGUUAAUGUCAAGGUUUGUUACUCAAUAAAUGUUUGAUUGAUUUAUAUAAUUGAGGAUUUACUUAAUAUAAAUAUUUAGCUUACAAUAUUUAAUAGAAAUCUCUGGUUCAUAAUCACUUUAUGAUUGUAUAAACAAAAUACAAAGGGUAAAAAAAUACGUACUGCUGAAAAAUUGUCAUAUUUUCCUUUUUUUUCUAUCUUUUAUGAGUAAUUUUCUUUCUUAUCUAUCAAAUGUACGGAACAAUUGAUUUCUGAUAUAGGUUAAUCUUUUGAAGGUUACACAUCUCUAACUUGUUUAUUUUGUCACUCUAUUCAUCUGUGUUUCCUCUUAUUUUCAAUUUUAUUCUUGCAUCACCAAUGAUUAUGAUAGGGUUUUUCGUAUUGUUUUGAUGAGAUUGAGAUGUUUGUUAGGAUUAUGAGGAUCUCACAAUAAUAAAGGUGGUGCUAAUGUAACACUGGAAAAAUGAUUGAGUUGGUUUCCUUUAUAACAUACGGUCUCAUUUUCAUUUUCUUGUAAUUAUUCUAUUUUCUUUUUUUCUUUUUCAUUUUCUUGUAAUUAUUCUUUUUUCUUUUUUUCUUUUUCAUUUUCUACUUAUAAUUAGUAUUUUAGCAUAUUUUUUAAUCUAUAUAACUUAUGUUAAUUGUUUAAUUAUCAGAAUAUAGAAGAUGACAUUUUAUGUUCUUUAGGAUAUAAGUAUAUAUUUAAUUAAUUUUGAUGUUCAAUACAUAUCUUUCUAAACUAAUUAAUGUCAAGGUUUGUUACUCAUUACAUGUUUGAUUGAUUUAUAUAAUUGAGGAUGUACUUAAUAAAAAUAUUUAGCUUACAUUAUUUAAUAGAAAUCUCUGGUUCAUAAUCACUUUAUGAUUGUAUAAACAAAAUACAAAAGGUAAAAAGAUACGUACUGCUAUAAAAUUGUCAUAUUUUCCGUUUUUUCCUAUCUUUUAUGAGUAAUUUUCUUUCUUAUCUAUCAAAUGUACAAACCAAGUGGUUUCAGAUAUAGGUUGAUCUUUUGAAGGUUACACAUCUCUAACUUGUUUAUUUUGUCACACUAUUCAUCCGUGUUUCCUCUUAUUUUCAAUUUUAUUCUUGCGUCACCAAUGAUUAUGAUAGGGUUUUUCGUAUUGUUUGGAUGAGAUUGAGAUGAUUGUUAGGAUUAUAAGGAUCUCACAAUAAUAAAGGUGAUGCUAAUGUAACACUGAAAAAAAGAUUGAGGUAGUUUCCAUUAUACCAUACGGUCUCAUUUUCAUUUUCUUGUAAUUAUUCUUUUUUCUGUUUCUACUUAUAAUUAGUAUUUUAGCAUAUUUUUUAAUUUGUAUAACUUAUGUCUAUUGUUGAAUUAUUAGAAUAUAGAAGAUGACAUUUUAUGUUCUUUAGGAUAUAAGUAUAUAUUUAAUUAAUUUUGAUGUUCAAUACAUAUCUUUCUAAACGAUUUAUUGUCAAGGUUUGUUAAUCAUUACAUGUUUGAUUGAUUUAAAUAAUUGAGGAUGUACUUAAUAGAAAUAUUUAGCUUACAUUAUUUAAUAGAAAUCUCUGGUUCAUAAUCACUUUAUGAUUGUAUAAACAAAAUACAAAGGGUAAAAAAAUACGUACUGCUGAAAAAUUGUCAUUUUUUCCUUUUUUUUCUAUCUUUUAUGAGUAAUUUUCUUUCUUAUCUAUCAAAUGUACGGAACAAUUGAUUUCUGAUAUAGGUUAAUCUUUUGAAGGUUACACAUCUCUAACUUGUUUAUUUUGUCACUCUAUUCAUCUGUGUUUCCUCUUAUUUUCAAUUUUAUUCUUGCAUCACCAAUGAUUAUGAUAGGGUUUUUCGUAUUGUUUUGAUGAGAUUGAGAUGUUUGUUAGGAUUAUGAGGAUCUCACAAUAAUAAAGUUGGUGCUAAUGUAACACUAGAAAAAUGAUUGGGUUGGUUUCCUUUAAUACAUACGGUCUCAUUUUCAUUGUCUUGUAAUUAUUCUAUUUUCUUUUUUUCUUUUUCAUUUUCUUGUAAUUAUUCUUUUUUCUUUUUUUCUUUUUCAUUUUCUACUUAUAAUUAGUAUUUUAGCAUAUUUUUUAAUCUAUAUAACUUAUGUUAAUCGUUUAAUUAUCAGAAUAUAGAAGAUGACAUUUUAUGUUCUUUAGGAUAUAAGUAUAUAUUUAAUUAAUUUUGAUGUUCAAUACAUAUCUUUCUAAACUAAUUAAUGUCAAGGUUUGUUACUCAUUACAUGUUUGAUUGAUUUAUAUAAUUGAGGAUGUACUUAAUAUAAAUAUUUACUUUACAAUACUUAAUAGAAAACUCUGGUUCAUAAUCACUUUAUGAUUGUAUAAACAAAAUAAAAAGGGUAAAAAAAUACGUACUGCUGAAAAAUUGUCAUAUUUUCCUUUUUUUUCUAUCUUUUAUGAGUAAUUUUCUUUCUUAUCUAUCAAAUGUACAGAUCAAGUGAUUUCUGAUAUAGGUUGAUCUUUUGAAGGUUACACAUCUCUAACUUGUUUAUUUUGUCACUCUAUUCAUCUGUGUUUCCUCUUAUUUUCAAUUUUAUUCUUGCAUCACCAAUGAUUAUGAUAGGGUUUUUCGUAUUGUUUUGAUGAGAUUGAGAUGAUUGUUAGGAUUAUGAGGAUCUCACAAUAAUAAAGGUGAUGCUAAUGUAACACUGGAAAAAUGAUUGAGUUGGUUUCCUUUAUAUUAUACGGUCUCAUUUUCAUUUUCUUGUUAUUAUUCUAUUUUCUUUUUUCUUUUUCAUUUUCUUGUAAUUAUUCUAUUUUCUUUUUUGUUUUUCAUUUUCUUGUAAUUAUUCUAUUUUCUUUUUCUCUUUUUCAUUUUCUACUUAUAAUUAGUAUUUUAGCAUAUUUUUAAUCUGUAUAACUUAUGUUAAUUCUUAAUUAUCAGAAUAUAGAAGAUGAUAUUUUAUGUUCUUUAGGAUAUAAGUAUAAAUUUAAUUAAUUUUGAUGUUCAAUACAUAUCAUUCUAAACUAUUGAAUGUCAUGGUUUGUUACUCAUUACAUGUUUGAUUCAUAUAUAUAAUUGAGGAUAUACUUAAUAUAAAUAUUUAACUUACAUUAUUUAAUAGAAAUCUAUGGUUCAUAAUCACUUUAUGAUUGUAUGAAUAAAAUACAAAAGGUAAAAAAAUACGUACUGCUAUAAAAUUGUCAUAUUUUCCAUUUUUUCCUAUCUUUUAUGAGUAAUUUUCUUUCUUAUCUAUCAAAUGUACAGAUCAAGUGGUUUCAGAUAUAGGUUGAUCUUUUGAAGGUUACGAUUUUCCAUUUUUUCCUAUCUUUUAUGAGUAAUUUUCUUUCUUAUCUAUCAAAUGUACAGAUCAAGUGGUUUCAGAUAUAGGUUGAUCUUUUGAAGGUUACGCAUCUCUAACUUGUUUAUUUUGUCACUCUAUUCAUUCGUGUUUCCUCUUAUUUUCAAUUUUAUUCUUGCGUCACCAAUGAUUAUGAUAGGGUUUUUCGUAUUGUUUGGAUGAGAUUGAGAUGAUUGUUAGGAUUAUAAGGAUCUCACAAUAAUAAAGGUGACGCUAAUGUAACACUGGAAAAAUGAUUGAGGUAGUUUCCUUUAUACCAUACGGUCUCAUAUUCAUUUUCUUGUAAUUAUUCUUUUUUCUUUUUCUACAUAUAAUUAGUAUUUUAGCAUAUUUUUUAAUCUGUAUAACUUAUGUCUAUUGUUUAAUUAUUAGAAUAUAGAAGAUGACAUUUUAUGUUCUUUAGGGUAUAAGUAUAUAUUUAAUUAAUUUUGAUGUUCAAUACAUAUCUUUCUAAACGAUUUAUUGUCAAGGUUUGUUAAUCAUUACAUGUUUGAUUAAUUUAAAUACUUGAGGAUGUACUUAAUUGAAAUAUUUAGCUUACAUUAUUUAAUAGAAAUCUCUGGUUCAUAAUCACUUUAUGAUUGUAUAAACAAAAUACAAAGGCUAAAGAAAUACGUACUACGUAGAAAUUGUCAUAAUUUCAUUUUUUUCUAUAUUUUAUGAGUAAUUUUCUUUAUUAUCAAUCAAAUGUAUAAAUCAAGUGAUUUCUGAUAUAGGCUGAUAUUUUGAAGGUUACACAUCUCUAACUUGUUUAUUUUGUCACUCUAUUCAUCUGUGUUUCCUCUUAUUUUCAAUCUUAUUCCUGUGUCACCAAUGAUUAUGAUAGGGUUUUUUGUAUUGUUUUGAUGAGAUUGAGAUGUUUGUUAGGAUUAUGAGGAUCUCACAAUAAUAAAGGUGGUGCUAAUGUAACACUAGAAAAAUGAUUGAGUUGGUUUCCUUUAAUACAUACGAUCUCUUUUUCAUUUUCUUGUAAUUAUUCUUUUUUCUUUUUUUCUUUUUCGUUUUUUACUUAUAAUUAAUAUUUUAGCAGACUUUUAAUCUGUAUAACUUAUCUUCAUUGUUUAAUUAUCAGAAUAUAGAAGAUGACAUUUAAUGUUCUUUAGGAUAUAAGUAUAAAUUUAAUUAAUUUAUAUGUUCAAUACAUAUCUUUCUAAACUAUUUAAUGUCAAAGUUUGUUAGUCAUUACCUGUUUGAUUGAUGUAUAUAAUUGAGGAUGUACUUAAUAAAAAUAUUUAGCUUACAUUAUUUAAUAGAAAUCUCUGGUUCAUAAUCACUAUAUGAUUGUAUAAACAAAAUACAAAAGGUAAAAAAAUACGUAUUACUAUAAGAUUGUCAUAUUUUCCGUUUUUACCUAUCUUUUAUAAGUAAUUUUCUUUCGUAUCUAUCAAAUGUACAGAUCAAGUGGUUUCGGAUAUAGGUUGAUCUUUUGAAGGUUACACAUCUCUAACUUGUUUAUUUUGUCACUCUAUUCAUCUGUGUCUCCUCUUAUUUUUAAUUUUAUUCUUGCGUCACCAAUGAUUAUGAUAGGGUUUUUCGUAUUGUUUUGAUGAGGUUGAGAUGUUUGUUAGGAUUAUGAGGAUCUCACAAUAAUAAAGGUGAUGCUAAUGUAACAUUCGAAAAAUGAUUGAGUUUUUUUCCUUUAUACCAUACCGUCUCAUUUUCAUUUUCUUGUAAUUAUUCUUUUUUCUUUUUUUCUUUUUCUGUUUCUACUUAUAAUUAGUAUUUUAGCAUAUUUUUUAAUCUGUAUAACUUAUGUCAAUUGUUUAAUUAUUAGAAUAUAGAAGAUGACAUUUUAUGUUCUUUAGGAUAUAAGUAUAUAUUUAAUUAAUUUUGAUGUUCAAUACAUAUCUUUCUAAACUAUUUAAUGUCAAGGUUAGUUAAUCAUUACAUGUUUGAUUGAUUUAUAUAAUUGAGGAUGUACUUAAUAGAAAUAUUUAGCUUACAUUAUUUAAUAGAAAUCUCUUGUUCAUGAUCACUUUAUGAUUGUAUAAACAAAAUACAAAGGGUAAAAAAAUACGUACUGCAGAUAAAUUGUCAUAUUUUCUUUUUUUUUUCUAUCUUUUAUGAGUCAUUUUCUUUUUUAUCUAUCAAAUGUACAGAUCAAGUGAUUUCUAAUAUAGUUUGAUCUUUUGAAGGUAACACAUCUCUAACUUGUUUAUUUUGUCACUCUAUUCAUCUGUGUUUCCUCCUAUUUUAAAUUUUAUUCUUGCGUCACCAAUGAUUAUGAUAGGGUUUUUCGUAUUUUUUUGAUGAGAUUGAGAUGUUUGUUAGGAUUAUGAGGAUUUCACAAUAAUAAAGGGGAUGCUAAUGUAACACCAGAAAAAUGAUUGAGUUGGUUUCCUUCAAUACAUACGGUCUCAUUUAAAUUUUCUUGUAAUUAUUCUUUUUUCUUUUUUUCUUUUCCAUUUUCUUGUAAUUAUUCUUUUUUCUUUUUUUCUUUUUCAUUUUCUACUUAUAAUUAGUAUUUUAGCAUAUUUUUUAAUCUAUAUAACUUAUGUUAAUUGUUUAAUUAUCAGAAUAUAAAAGAUGACACUUUAUGUUCUUCAGGAUCUAAGUAUAUAUUUAAUUAAUUUUGAUGUUCAAUACAUAUUUUUCUAAACUAAUUAAUGUCAAGGUUUGUUACUCAUUACAUGUUUGAUUGAUUUUUAUAAUUGAGGAUGUACUUAAUAGAAAUACUUACCUUACAUUAUUUAAUAGAAAUCUCUGGUUCAUAAUAACUUUACGAUUGUAUAAACAAAAUACAAAGGGUAAAAAAAUACGUACUGCUGAAAAAUUGUCAUAUUUUCCUUUUUUUUCUAUCUUUUAUGAGUAAUAUUCUUUCUUAUCUAUCAAAUCUACGGAUCAAGUGAUUUCUGACAUAGGUUGAUGUUUUGAAGGUUACACAUCUCUAACUUUUUUAUUUUGUCACUCUAUUCAUCUGUGUUUAAUCUUAUUUUCAAUUUUAUUCUUGCGUCACCAAUGAUUAUAAUAGGGUUUUUCUUAUAGUUUUGAUGAGAUUGAGAUGUGAGUUAGUUUCCUUUAUACCACACGAUCUCAUUUUCAUUUUCUUAUAAUUAUUCUGUUUUAUUUUUUUCUUUUUCAUUUUCUACUUAUAAUUAGUCUUUUAGCAUAUUUUUUAAUCUAUAUAACUUAUGUCAAUUUUUAAUUAUCAGAAUUUAGAAGAUGACAUUUUAUGUUCCUAGGAUAUAAGUAUAUAUUUAAUUGAUUUUGAUGUUCAAUACAUAUCUUUUCAAACAAAUUAAUGUCAAGGUUUGUUACUCAUUACAUGUUUGAUUGAUUUAUAUAAUUGAGGAUGAACUUAAUAGAAAUAUUUACCUUACAUUAUUUAGUAAAAAUCUCUGGUUCAUAAUCUCUCCAUGAUUGUAUAAACAAAAUACAAUGGGUAAAAAAAUACGUAUUGUUGAAAAAUUGACAUAUUUUUCUUUUUUUUCUAUCAUUUAUGAGUAAUUUUCUUUCUUAUCUGUCAAAUGUACAUAUCAAGUGAUUUCUGAUAUAGGUUGAUCUUUGUAAGGUUACACAUCUCUAACUUGUUUAUUUUGUCACUCUAUUCAUCUGUGUUUCCUCUUAUUUUCAAUUUUAUUCUUGCCUCACCAAUGAUUAUGAUCGGGUUUUUUGUAUUGUUUUAAUGAGAUUAAGAUGUUUGUUAGGAUUGUGAGGAUCUCACAAUAAUAAAGGUGAUGCUAAUGUAACACUAGAAAAAUGAUUGAGUUGGUUUCCUUUAUACCACACGAUCUCAUUUUCAUUUUCUUAUAAUUAUUUUGUUUUCUUUUUCUCCUUUUCAUUUUCUACUUAUAAUUAGUCUUUUAGCAUAUUUUUUAAUUUGUAUAACUUAUGUUAAUUGUUUAAUUAUCAGAAUAUAGAAGAUGACAUUUUAUGUUCUUUAGGAUAUAAGUAUAUAUUUAAUUAUUUUGAUGUUCAAUACAUAUCUUUCUAAACAUUUAUUGUCAAGGUUUGUUAAUCAUUACAUGUUGAUUGAUUUAAUAAUGAGGAUGUACUUAAUAGAAAUUUUAGCUUACACUAUUUAAUAAAAUCUCUGGUUCAUAAUCACUUUAUGAUUGUAUAAACAAAAUACAAAGGCUAAAGAAAUAGUACUACGUAAAAUUGUCAUAUUUUCCUUUUUUUUCUAUCUUUUAUGAGUAUUUUCUUUUUAUCUAUCAAAUGUACAAAUCAAGUGAUUUCUGAUAUAGGUGAUCUUUUGAAGGUUACACAUCUCUAACUGUUUAUUUUGUCACUCUUAUCAUCUGUGUUUCCUCUUAUUUUCAAUUUUUUUUCCUCGUCACCAAUGAUUGAUGAUGGGUUUUGUAUUGUUUUGAUGAGAUUGAGAUGUUUGUAGGAUUAUGAGGAUCUCACAAAUAAUAAAGGUGUGCUAAUGUAACACUGGAAAAAUGAUUGAGUUGGUUUCCUUUAUACAACGUAUUAUUUCAUUUUCUUGUAAUUAUUCUUUUUCUUUUUUUCUUUUUCAUUUUCUUGUAUUAUUCUUUUAUUUUUUCUUUUCUUUUCUAUUAAUUAGAUUUUAGCAUAUUUUUUAAUCUAAUAACUAUGUUAAUUUUUAAUUAUCAGAAUAUAGAAGAUGACAUUUUAUGUUCUUUAGGAUAUAAGUAUAUAUUUAAUUAAUUUUGAUGUCAAUACAUAUUUUUCUAAACUAUUAAUGUCAAGGUUUGUUAAUCAUUACAUGUUGAUUGAUUUAAUAAUUGAGGAUUACUUAAUAAAAUAUUUGCUACAAUAUUUAAUAGAAAUUUCUGGUUCAUAAUCACUUUAUGAUUGUUAAACAAAUAUACAAAGGGUUAAAAAAAUACGUACUGCUGAAAAAUUGUCAUAUUUUCCUUUUUUUUCUAUCUUUUAUGAGUAAUUUUCUUUCUUAUCUAUAAAAGUACGAUCAAUUGAUUUCUGAUAUAGGUUAAUCUUUUGAAGGUUACACAUCUCUAAUUGUUUAUUUUGUCCUCUAUUCAUCUGUGUUUCCUCUUAUUUUCAAUUUAUUCUUCCUCACCAAGAUUAUGAUAGGGUUUUAUAUGUUUUAUGAAUAUUGAGAUGUUUGUAGGAUUAUGAGGAUCUCAAAUAAUAAAGGUGAUGCUAAUGUAACACUGGAAAAAUGAUUGAGUUGGUUUCCUUUAUACCAUACGUUCCAUUUUCAUUUUUCUUAAAUUAUUAUAUUUUCUNUACAUGUUUGAUUGAUUUAUAUAAUUGAGGAUGUACUUAAUAGAAAUAUUUAGCUUACAUUAUUUAAUAGAAAUCUCUGGUUCAUAAUCACUUUAUGAUUGUAUAAACAAAAUACAAAGGGUAAAAAAAUACGUACUGCUGAAAAAUUGUCAAAUUUUCCUUUUUUUUUCUAUCUUUUAUGAGUAAUUUUCUUUCUUAUCUAUCAAAUGUACAUAUCAAGUGAUUUCUCAUAUAGGUUGAUCUUUUAAAGGUUACACAUCUCUAACUUGUUUAUUUUGUCACUCUAUUCAUCUAUGUUUCCUCUUAUUUUCAAUUUUAUUCUUACGUCACCAAUGAUUAUGAUAGGGUUUUUCGUAUUCAUUUGAUGAGAUUUAGAUGUUUGUUAGAAUUUUGAGGAUCUCACAAUAAUAAAGGUGAUGCUAAUGUAACACUGGAUAAAUGAUAAAGUUGGUUUCCUUUAUAACAUACAGUCUCAUUUUCAUUUUCUUGUAAUUAUUCUUUUUUCUUUUUUUCUUUUGCAUUUUCUUGUAAUUAUUCUUUUUCUUUUUUUCUUUUUCAUUUUCUACUUAUAAUUAGUAUUUUAGCAUAUUUUUGAAUUUGUAUAACUUAUGUUAAUUGUUUAAUUAUCAGAAUAUAAACGAUGACAUUUUAUGUUCUUCAGGAUAUAAGUAUAUAUUUAAUUAAUUUUGAUGUUCAAUACAUAUCUUUCUAAACUAUUUAAUGUCAAGGUUUGUUAAUCAUUACAUGUUUGAUUGAUUUAUAUAAUUGAGGAUGUACUUAAUAGAA
rnacentral:lncRNA from 1 species